UACGUAGGGGGCAAGCGUUGUCCGGAAUCAUUGGGCGUAAAGAGCGUGUAGGCGGCCCGGUAAGUCUGUUGUGAAAGUCCAGGGCUCAACCCUGGAAUGCCGAUGGAUACUGCCGGGCUAGAGUUCGGAAGAGGCGAGUGGAAUUCCUGGUGUAGCGGUGGAAUGCGCAGAUAAUCAGGAGGAACACCGGUGGCGAAGGCGGGUCUCUGGGCCGUAACUGACGCUGAGGAGCGAAAGCGUGGGGAGCGAACAGG
rnacentral:rRNA from 1 species